AACACGUGAUUACAACAGUUUCGGUCCCAAAUGAACACAGUGAUUACUUUGAGAUCUUCUGAUGUU
ensembl:snoRNA SNORD73 Small nucleolar RNA SNORD73